CCUCUGACCCUGGGAUGGCAUCGGUCCCAGGCGGGCUGAUGGGAGAAGAGUUAGGGCACUGGCUCCCCGCGCGGCAGUGGAUUGGGCCACGUGUGUAUCACCCACGGUUCCCCCAGCCCCUGGAGGAUGGCGGAGACACAAAGACAAAGAGACAACAGUGAGUGAGCGUUCACAGACUGUUUGGAAGCAAAUGAAGGCAAAGGGACCGACGUGAAACCAAAGUUUGGCAUAAGGGCCCGCAGAGCAGGACGGCAGCCCGGACAGAGACUAUCCCCUCCCUUCCACGGGAGUCCACGAUCCAACCUAAAUGAAGCUCCAGAAGGGUUUUUUAAAGACCGAUGAUGACUGUCUACCACGGACCGAGGAGUGGAUCAACAUCAUCCUCUGCACCUGAAGUCCAAGGAAAGAGAAAAGAUGGGAGAUGGAAAAGCCUGAGGAUGCACAGAAAUUCCUGUGGCCCCACCGCUCAGGAAAAAGCAUUGUUGACACUUUGGUGUUUCCUUCUAGUGUUUUCUCUACACUUACAGAAAUUGACCCUUUCCUUUUCACUCAUUCCCAGACUUCAGAGAUACAUAGAAAUUCCUUCAAAUUCUGGAUUACCCAUUUUAUUAAUGGUGUUAUUUGGGGCAAGAUGCUUCCUCUUGUCCAGUGUUAGAUUUCUCAUUCUGAAAAAUAGGAACGAUCAUAACCAGCCUCUUAAGAUUGCAUGAUGAUGAAGUAAAAUGAUCGCUGUGAAAAGCAUCGGACAUCACUGGGAACCCAGCAGGGACUCGUGUUUUCCAGGGAAGAGUUCAAAGAUGUGGAAAUCGACAGAAAUGCUGUGAGAAAUCUUGAAAAAGGCUUCCUGGCUGCAAGGAAUAUGCAGGUUCACUCUUGAGGACGCAAAGGCUCCCAGAGGUGUCCUGUCAGAGUCUCUGUUUCACAUGAGCUCUCCUGGAAGUCACCACACGUUGGUAACGUGUCGUUUUCCUGACACACUAUGGGGUGGCCGGGGUUAGAGCUGGGGACAGGCGCCCAAACAGUCAUGACCCCAGCGUGGCUGGCUGUGGGGCUCCCAGGCCUCUGCAUCAAAGCUGUGCUCACCAAGGGGCCAACGGGUCCUGUGAAUGUUUUCAGUUCGUGUUUUGCCUUUGUUGUUAGGAGAAGUUGUAGGCUCUGUUGGCAUUUGUGAAUCGCAGACUUUUUAGAAAUUUCUAGAACAUGGGCCUUGUGGGUCUCAAGGGCCUGCUUGACAUCUGGCUAUGAGGUGACGGCACUAGGUCACAUAGGCAGGACCCCCACAGCAGGGUACAGGUUAGAGCACCAGAAAGCUGAGGCGGGGGUCAAGGAUUCUUUCCUUCCCUCCCAGAAAUAUCAGAAUGGGCCAUGAAAGGAGUUCAUGGGCAUCUAUUUCUUCAGUCCUAUUUACUUUUAUUUUAUUAUUAUUAUUUUUUAGUCCUGUUUACUUUUUUUUUUAAGAUUUUAUUCAUUUAUUUGAGAGAGAGACAGCACGAGAGAGCACAAGCUGGGUGAGGGGCAGAGGGAGAAGCAGACUCCCCUAUGAGCAGGGAACCCGACACGGGGCUCAAUCCCAGGACCUGGAGAUCACGACCUGAGCUGAAGACAGACGCUUCACCGACUGAGCCCCCGGGGGGUGCCCCUGGAGUCUCUUCUUGUCUCUGUUGAGCAGGUCUUCCUUCUUUGGUGUGUCUGCUCUGCUUGGUUCUCAUCAUCAUGGUGCUCAUGGUUGCUUCUACCUGUAAUAGAGCCAUGACAGCCAAUGUUUGUAAAUCAUUCCAGAGCUUAGAGAGCUUUGGUCCCGGACAGGUGGCUUGGUCUUUCUUAAUCUGGAAAGAAUCUUUGCUGAGGGCUGUAGUUGGAUCUCAAGGAAAGAGGAGUGCUGACUCGCGCACAGCUGUGUCCACAGACACUCACGGAGGACCAGCUAGGACCAGGCUCUGCCUGAUGCGGAGGGGGACAGAGUCCAGUGGGAAUUCCUGCUUCCUUAGAGCAACCCCAGCUGACCCAAAUAACAAGCUCUAGUUCCAGUGCUAACUAGUUGUUACUAACUAGCAUGUGCCCUUGGCAAGCCGCAUCCCCUCUUGGGGCUUCAGGAACCCUCCGAGGAGCGAGAAGCUGGACUGGACAACACAGGUGGCUCCCCUCCGUCUCUCCCAAAGUCCAUCCAGUUAAUAAAGGCCAUGGCCGGGCCAGCCUGGAGGCUGGCUCUAUUCUAGGUCAUCUC